GAGGGAGAGAGAAGAGGAGGAAGAGGAAAGAAGCCAAGAAACUAACAGGUGGUUGGAACAACAUGUGGCUGAAAUGACAGGGGAGGUGUCUGGAUGGAGAUGUGGGGGGCCCUAGAAAUUGAAGCCGGGGUGUUGACUUCCUAUGAAAGCUGUGGGCAUUGCCGUGAAUGCCAUCCUCUGCCUCCCAAAGACCAUGGUCAAGUGCCCAUGACCCACAGAGACCCCGGGCCGGCGUGUGCGUGCGCACACAUGUGCGUGUGGGCUCCCACACAUGGGUGCCCAGAUGAGGGUGAGGUUCCACCUGUGACCUGUCAUGAUGUGAGUAAAGAUGGCAUGAAGACACCUAGACUUACUGACCCCGGCAGAAAGGGUGACAAAAUGCCUGAACUCUGAGUCCUGGAGUCCAAAGUGCCUGGGGAUUUGCAAAAACUUGGGGUGGACUUUGGGUUUUUCUAGAGUGUAGAAAGGGAGGUCAGGCCAAUCUUAUUAUUUCUCUCGUCUAUUCAUUUGUUCCACAAGCUCUGGUCGUCCAUCCACAUUGUGCCAGAGUCGGUGCCAGGAGCCGAGGUGUCCAUAGGGACCCAGAUAGUCUCCCGGAGCAGACAUUGUGGCGAGAUGGACAGUAAACUGAUAAAUACAAAUAAAAGUGUCAGCAUGGACUGGACACUCUCAAAUCUCAGCACCUCACACGAUAAAAGUGCAUUUCUUACUCGCAGAGAAACCCAACGUGGGUAUUUAUCAGGUCUUCCCUGAUUUGGGGGUUGGGGGUGCAAGCUCUAUCCUGUGACAUGCCUCCCCAUCGGCUGGGACCUACAGGCCUUGCGGACAGGGCCCGGCGGAGCAGAGAGGACCCUGCAGGAGGUUCUCACAAGCCAGCACUGCAAACAGAGCGCAGCAGUCCCGCCCGUGCCAUCAUUGAGGGCGCUGUCCCAUGGCCACACCUCAGGGCAGGGAAGCGGGCAGGUGUGGUCGGCUGGGUGCCCAGCAGGAGACAGAAGGUGACAAGUGAAGGAGAAGAAACAGUGCUCCCGGGGCCACUUCUCAUGGAGAGAAGACUCAAAGCUCCAUGUUGGAACAUUCCAGAACAUGGAUGCAAAAAUGUGCAGAGGCCUCAGCUUAGCCACCAGGGUCAUGGGUAAGAGAAAGAUCCAGGUUCCUCCAGGAAGCUGUGGCAUAGCCCCUGUGGGGGUGGGGGUUCUCCAUUCUCUGGCAGAAAUAGAGAGCAGGAAGUCAGAGGUGACUGUGACAGGAAGUGGCGCCAUUUGGGUUGUGGUGUUCAUGAUAUUUGGCUGCAAAGAACAAAGAAAGGGAACAUUAGGUACUAUGUGUUGGGUACGUUCUAUGCAACGGACACUGUACUAUGUCCUUGAAAUAUAUUGUUUCUUUUAAUUUCAAAAUCUCUUCCUCAGAGAAGACACCUAUAGAAAGACUCAUUCCCUAUGACUCCCCAUCUGUGCAUUUAGCUGACUUUCAUACAUCUUGUUUUUUAUCAAAGACAUUUAUUGGGACGCCCAGGUGGCUCAGCAGUUGGGUGGCUGCCUUAGGCUCAGGUCGUGAUCCUGGGAUCCAGGAUCGAGUCCUGCAUCGGGCUCCUGCAAGGAGCCUGCUUCUCCCUCUGCCUAUAUCUCUGUCUCUCUGUGUGUGUGUCUCUCAUGAAUAAAUACAUGAGUCUUAAAAAAAAAAACA
rnacentral:lncRNA from 12 species